rnacentral:lncRNA from 13 species
CAUUUGUGUUAAGUGAGUCCACCAGAUCAGAGGCAGUAGAGAUGACCACGUGUUCGCUUGAUAAGUGUAUGAAUUGGACCAUUUUCCUGUCCUGCUAAGCAUUCAAAAUGUAAAGAGUACUUUUGGGUGUCAAGGAAAAUGUAUGGGAGUAGAAAGUAUAUAUAUUUCUUGAGGAAUGUAGUGGAGUAAAAGUAGGCUUGAAAGUUGUCAAAAAUAUAAAUAGUAAAAUAAAGUACAGAUACUCAGUUUCUUUAUACCACUGACUGUGGGAAGGUCAACAUUCUUAAAUGGUAAUUACUUCUACUUGACAUUAUCAUUCACCUGAAGACAGGACAAGACGUGAUUUUGUUUUUUGCUAACAUGUGAUGGGGGUCCCUGGGUCGCCGGUUUGCCUGGGCGGGGAUCCAUGAGCAAGAAAAGUAAAAAAAAAAAAAUCCCUGCAUUAUAACAUUAAUAAAUCAACAGAGAGGAAGACCCUGUUUGAAUACUAAAAAGCAGCCCUCGUCGCUCUUUUCCUUUAUCUGAAAUAAGGAUGGGUAGAAGCUAUAGAGGCUUCAUCAUUAACAAGUGUAAGUGUGUCCCUUGUCCCAAUGGUUACUACUGGUACAAGCUUAAUGGCCAUCCUAAGUGUGACUUCUGUACUAAAGCCUGCUCAGGUAACUUUUAGAUAUAGGCAUUACCUUGUGUUAGUUCAUUCCUCUACACAAUAGACAUCAUACCCAUAAUUUGUAGUUUAACUCAAGGUAACAAUAGUUUCAUGUAAAAUGCUGCCGUUAUUUUACUUUUGAAUAGAGUGGAUAAACAUAUUCAGAGCAAAUGUCUCAUUGAUAAUUUGUGUGUUUGUGUGUCUUGUCUUUGUUGGUGGGCAAAGUUGAUCGGCACUUGACACAGGUGAAGGAAUGCCGCCGGGACUCAAACCGGGAGUGCCACUGUGUCAGGGGCUUUUUCUGUGCCAGCACUGCCCAGUAUACCUGCAGGAGGUGUAAACCGUGCGUGUCUGGCACCUUCUCCAACACAGCAAACCUAGCCACGUCCUGCAAACCCCACACAGUGUGAGUCCACAGCUACAGAACACUGGUACCGAGCACCACAUGCACUGUACUGAUUCACAUGUUGUCUACCUAUAAAUAUCUCAAAUAUGAUGCUGUAGCUCCUUCUACUGGAUUUGAGUCAUUUGAAACUAACAAUUGUACCCAAGGCCUACUUUUACAGUAAAUGAAAUUAUUAUUAGUACUAGUAGUAUCGAACACUGUACUUUCUCAUUUAGAUAAACACGUUAUCUCCUGGCUUCUCCCCUA